GGGUUGUGAGGUUAAGCGACUAAGCGUACACGGUGGAUGCCCUGGCAGUCAGAGGCGAUGAAGGACGUGCUAAUCUGCGAAAAGCGUCGGUAAGGUGAUAUGAACCGUUACAGCCGGCGAUGUCCGAAUGGGGAAACCCAGUGCAAUUCGUUGCACUAUCGUUAACUGAAUACAUAGGUUAACGAAGCGAACCGGGGGAACUGAAACAUCUAAGUACCCCGAGGAAAAGAAAUCAACCGAGAUUCCCCCAGUAGCGGCGAGCGAACGGGGAGCAGCCCAGAGUCUGAAUCAGCUUGUGUGUUAGUGGAACGGUCUGGAAAGUCCGACGGUACAGGGUGAUAGUCCCGUACACCAAAAUGCACAGGCUGUGAACUCGAAGAGUAGGGCGGGACACGUGGUAUCCUGUCUGAAUAUGGGGGGACCAUCCUCCAAGGCUAAAUACUCCUGACUGACCGAUAGUGAACCAGUACCGUGAGGGAAAGGCGAAAAGAACCCCGGCGAGGGGAGUGAAAAAGAACCUGAAACCGUGUACGUACAAGCAGUGGGAGCACCUUCGGGUGUGACUGCGUACCUUUUGUAUAAUGGGUCAGCGACUUAUAUUCUGUAGCAAGGUUAACCGUAUAGGGGAGCCGCAGGGAAACCGAGUCUUAACUGGGCGUUAAGUUGCAGGGUAUAGACCCGAAACCCGGUGAUCUAGCCAUGGGCAGGUUGAAGGUUGGGUAACACUAACUGGAGGACCGAACCGACUAAUGUUGAAAAAUUAGCGGAUGACUUGUGGCUGGGGGUGAAAGGCCAAUCAAACCGGGAGAUAGCUGGUUCUCCCCGAAAGCUAUUUAGGUAGCGCCUCGUGAACUCAUCUUCGGGGGUAGAGCACUGUUUCGGCUAGGGGGUCAUCCCGACUUACCAACCCGAUGCAAACUACGAAUACCGAAGAAUGUUAUCACGGGAGACACACGGCGGGUGCUAACGUCCGUCGUGAAGAGGGAAACAACCCAGACCGCCAGCUAAGGUCCCAAAGUCAUGGUUAAGUGGGAAACGAUGUGGGAAGGCACAGACAGCCAGGAUGUUGGCUUAGAAGCAGCCAUCAUUUAAAGAAAGCGUAAUAGCUCACUGGUCGAGUCGGCCUGCGCGGAAGAUGUAACGGGGCUAAACCAUGCACCGAAGCUGCGGCAGCGACACUAUGUGUUGUUGGGUAGGGGAGCGUUCUGUAAGCCUGCGAAGGUGUGCUGUGAGGCAUGCUGGAGGUAUCAGAAGUGCGAAUGCUGACAUAAGUAACGAUAAAGCGGGUGAAAAGCCCGCUCGCCGGAAGACCAAGGGUUCCUGUCCAACGUUAAUCGGGGCAGGGUGAGUCGACCCCUAAGGCGAGGCCGAAAGGCGUAGUCGAUGGGAAACAGGUUAAUAUUCCUGUACUUGGUGUUACUGCGAAGGGGGGACGGAGAAGGCUAUGUUAGCCGGGCGACGGUUGUCCCGGUUUAAGCAUGUAGGCUGGUUAUCCAGGCAAAUCCGGAUAAUCAAGGCUGAGGUGUGAUGACGAGGCACUACGGUGCUGAAGUAACAAAUGCCCUGCUUCCAGGAAAAGCCUCUAAGCAUCAGGUAACAUCAAAUCGUACCCCAAACCGACACAGGUGGUCAGGUAGAGAAUACCAAGGCGCUUGAGAGAACUCGGGUGAAGGAACUAGGCAAAAUGGUGCCGUAACUUCGGGAGAAGGCACGCUGGUGUGUAGGUGAAGUCCCUGCGGAUGGAGCUGAGACCAGUCGAAGAUACCAGCUGGCUGCAACUGUUUAUUAAAAACACAGCACUGUGCAAACACGAAAGUGGACGUAUACGGUGUGACGCCUGCCCGGUGCCGGAAGGUUAAUUGAUGGGGUUAUCCGUAAGGAGAAGCUCUUGAUCGAAGCCCCGGUAAACGGCGGCCGUAACUAUAACGGUCCUAAGGUAGCGAAAUUCCUUGUCGGGUAAGUUCCGACCUGCACGAAUGGCGUAAUGAUGGCCAGGCUGUCUCCACCCGAGACUCAGUGAAAUUGAACUCGCUGUGAAGAUGCAGUGUACCCGCGGCAAGACGGAAAGACCCCGUGAACCUUUACUAUAGCUUGACACUGAACAUUGAGCCUUGAUGUGUAGGAUAGGUGGGAGGCUUUGAAGCGUGGACGCCAGUCUGCGUGGAGCCAACCUUGAAAUACCACCCUUUAAUGUUUGAUGUUCUAACGUUGGCCCCUUACCGGGGUUGCGGACAGUGUCUGGUGGGUAGUUUGACUGGGGCGGUCUCCUCCCAAAGCGUAACGGAGGAGCACGAAGGUUAGCUAAUCCUGGUCGGACAUCAGGAGGUUAGUGCAAUGGCAUAAGCUAGCUUGACUGCGAGCGUGACGGCGCGAGCAGGUGCGAAAGCAGGUCAUAGUGAUCCGGUGGUUCUGAAUGGAAGGGCCAUCGCUCAACGGAUAAAAGGUACUCCGGGGAUAACAGGCUGAUACCGCCCAAGAGUUCAUAUCGACGGCGGUGUUUGGCACCUCGAUGUCGGCUCAUCACAUCCUGGGGCUGAAGUAGGUCCCAAGGGUAUGGCUGUUCGCCAUUUAAAGUGGUACGCGAGCUGGGUUUAGAACGUCGUGAGACAGUUCGGUCCCUAUCUGCCGUGGGCGCUGGAGAAUUGAGGGGGGCUGCUCCUAGUACGAGAGGACCGGAGUGGACGCAUCACUGGUGUUCGGGUUGUCAUGCCAAUGGCACUGCCCGGUAGCUAAAUGCGGAAGAGAUAAGUGCUGAAAGCAUCUAAGCACGAAACUUGCCCCGAGAUGAGUUCUCCCUGAGACUUUAAGUCUCCUGAAGGAACGUUGAAGACGACGACGUUGAUAGGCCGGGUGUGUAAGCGCAGCGAUGCGUUGAGCUAACCGGUACUAAUGAACCGUGAGGCUUAACCUUACAACGCCGAAG
rnacentral:rRNA from 1 species